rnacentral:lncRNA from 1 species
AAAAAAAAAAAGAACAACCCAAAUGAAUUGUGGAGAAGAAUUGGGGUUAGGGGAGAAUACGUGUUUUCGACGAUUUUAGGGUAGAAGACGUUGGAAAGAAUACUUCUAGCGUGAAUUUUUUUUUUAAUAAUAAAUUUAUGUUUUGAUCAUUUAAUUUACCUAUUACAUUUCAAUAAAAACAUAAAAUAAUAGAGAUGUGUAUUAAGAGAUUAGGGGUAUGUAUUUAAAAUUUCUCUUAAAGUUUUGUUUAAAAGAAUUAUUUAGCGAUAGUUUAUCAACAUCUUAUUAAAGUUGUCAAAGGUCAUUCGACUUAUCUAGUAAGACUUCAAUUAUCGGUAACUCAAUAACUUUGAAGCUUACUCCUCGAUCAUUCUUGAUUACAUCAGCUUUUAUUUUUGAGUUGUAAUUUCAAAUUUCAAAAUGUUACAUCGUCCACACUCCACACCAUCAACUUAUAAAAUUCGGGAUGGUAUACUUGAUUUUUCUUUUUUUUAACCGGGCAUGAUUUUUAAUGACCACAUUUAGCCCUUUGAGUGUCAUAUCUAUGAGAAAUCAAAAUUCUUUCUUUAUUUUCUUUUCCCUUACAUUGUUCCUACAAGAGAAAUUUUAAAAACACACCAUUAAUAUUUUAAUACACAUCUCUUAUUUAAUAUACCACCUAUCAAGUUUUUCAUUUCAGUAUUAUACUUAAUACACAUCCCAAACUGCCUAAAAUGCCCUUAAUUUAUGAAAUAUUCUGUUUUUUAAUAUAGGGAAAAUGCCCUAAUGCACAAAAACAGGGAUUUUAAUGCCCACUUCAAUGUAAAUUUUUUCUGUUAGCCCAUUUCAAUGAUUCUUAUGCAAAAGACAUUAUUACCCUCUAUAGAAUUAAACUCACACAAAUCUUAUCUCUUUCUUUUUCUCUUCUCUCUCUCUCUUCUUCUCCUCCCGAUCUGCUCUCUCUCUCUCUCUCACAUAUAUCCUUCGUCGGCGACCUCAUCCUCGCCUCCACCAUCUCCGGCGACCUCUUCCGUGGAGGGACGAUCUUAACGGUGAGAGCACAUGAUUGGCCCAGUAGAUAUGGGAGACGAGGAGAUGGGCGAGCUCGACGGACGGCAAGGACACGGCGGCGGAGUUGAGGCUGGAGCUGAGCUGGAGAGCCCAGAAGAGCGGGUCGCUGUUCUUGUCCUGAGCUGAUUGGUGAGAUGGAGGACCGAGUCCCAUAGGUGACUCGGCGGCUGCUGUGAGGGCACCACCGCCAUUCGGAAUCACAGUAGAGAGAAUUAGGGUUUUAAUUCAUUACAGAGGGAGAAGGAGGAGAGAAUCUGGAGCUGCUUUUGGCUUCUCACUUUGACUGACAAGGCUGUCCCCUGCUUUGGUGCUACCGGCGCCGGUUUAAGGUUUUUUUUUUUUUUUUUUUUUAGGUUCUAUUGGUGUGUUUGGGCUUGCUGGAGGAAUAGAUUCAUGGAGAGUUAGAUCCUUGUGGGGAAGCAUGGCAAAUAAGUGCGUACUUUGUAGUUUUCAUAGAGGUAGUAAUCGAUUACUGGGGGUCAGUAACUGAAAACAAAAUGAUUAUUGGGUGAUUACUGGGUUCAGUAACUGAAAACAAAGUGAUUACUGGGGGUCAGUAACUGGUUGCUAGGUGUCAAUAACUUGUCAGUAACCGAUUACUGGGGGUCAGUAACUGGUUACUGGGUGUCAGUAACUGGUUACUAGGUGUCAAUAACUGGUCAGUAACCGAUUACUGGGGGUCAGUAACUGGUUACUAGGUGUCAAUAACUGGUCAGUAACCGAUUACUGGGGGUCAGUAACUGGUUACUGGGUGUCAGUAACUGGUUACUAGGUGUCAAUAACUGGUCAGUAACCGAUUACUGGGAGUCAGUAACUGAUUACUGGGUGUCAGUAACUGAUUACUGGGGGUUAAUAACCGGUUACUAGGUGUCAGUAACUGAUUACUGGGGGUUAAUAACUGGUUAUUAGGGGUCGUUAACUGGUCAGUAACUGGUUAUUGGGGGUCAGUAACUAGUUACAGGGGAAAUUCCGGUGAUCGGAGUCCGACGGUCGGGAAAAUUCCGGUGACCGGAGUCCGGCGGUCGGGAAAAUUCCGGUGACCGGAGUCCGACGGCCGGCGACCGGAGUCCGGCGGCCGGUGACCGGAGUCCGGCGGCCGGUGACCGGAGUCGGAGUCCGGUGAGAUUCCGACCAAGUUUCUCUUUUUCAUUUUCUCUCUCUAUGUAUGUUUAAAGGAUGAGGGCAAAAUAGUCUUAAAAUAAUAUGGUUUAUUAAGACUUUAGUAAAGAUUUGUGCAUUUGGGCAUAAAAAAGGUUACCUUAUAUUGAAAUGGGCUAAUGAAAAAGAUUGUCAUUGGAAUGGGGAAUGAGGGGUUCAAAUUAGUACUAAAUGAGCAUUUUCCCUUUAAUAUAAUUAAUAUAUAUUUACUAUUUGGUCUCUUUUUACAUAUUAUUUCAUCUAAUUUUUGAUAGAAAUUUUUGGGAGUGCGGCUAUUAGGAUCUCCAAAUUUGCUCACUAGACCUCACUCUAUUUUGAAUUAUUAAAUUACAUAUACAUCCUCAUACACAAUGACUAUUAAGGACAAUAAUUAUACAAAAGGAAAUAUUG